rnacentral:lncRNA from 1 species
AGGAGCUUCAGGGCGAGGUCGUACUGUUCCAGCGCCGCCGUGUAGUCCUUCGCCUGGAAGCGGCGGUUGCCCUCCUCUUUGAGCUCGUGGGCACGUUUCAGGAAGACGGAGGAAUCCAAAUCCAGGCCGUUCGGGGAAGGAGCGGCGGCGGCGGAGGGUGGGGGCGACUUAGCUGCGACGGCUGGGGCUUGGGCUUGCGGGUGGGCGUCCGCGGCGGUGCUGUUGCCGGGGCUGGCGGCGUUCUUCUUCCGCCUGCUCCCGGAUUUCCCCAUUGCCGCCGCUCCUCGCUCGAGAUUUCCGGCUCCGCUGCUGCUCCUCUCCCCUUCCUCCGCCGCCGCCGCUGGGGAGCAGAUGAAGGGGGGCUAUCGUGGCAGCUGACGCUGACGGAUUGGAUAGCUCCCGCGGGCCGAGAGCG